UUGGAAAGCAUGUUACAGCAAAGUGGAGGGAAUCUCUGCAUUGCUUUAGAUCCUAUCUGAUGCCAGCCUUAGCUUUCGAGUUGUUUCAACUUUGAAGAUCUCACAGCCCCUCCAUGAUCAAGCUUCAGGAGCAGAUCAAAGACACAUGCAGUGCCAAACCUCCACCCUAAGAAAUAGAAAGGAAGAAGAUCUCAGCCCACAUCCUGUGUUUAAACAAAGUUCCCACAGCUUUUCCAAGAUAACCCCUCCUAAGAAAGAAGAUGGGGCCGGGCGGUGGUGGCACACGCCUUUAAUCCCAGCACUUGGGAGGCAGAGGCAGGCGUAUCUCUGUGAGUUCGAG